AGGACCAAUGAUGAGACAGUGUCAUGAACCCAAGACUGUUACAAAUCUAUUGCUGUGUACCUGAAGACCAAA
rnacentral:snoRNA from 1 species